UUUAUUAAUCGACAUGUCUGCACUGCGGGCGGCCGGUACUCCAGUGAUUAUCGUGUCGACCUCACAGUGCAGAGGUAC